rnacentral:rRNA from 1 species
UAAGACGGAGGGUGCAAGCGUUGUUCGGAUUUACUGGGCGUAAAGGGCGUGUAGGCGGAAUUGCAAGCCGGGGGUGAAAGGCCUGGGCUCAACCCAGGACGGUCUUCCGGAACUGCAGCUCUAGAGAGAGUCAGAGGCAGGUGGAAUUCCAGGUGUAGAGGUGAGAUUCGUAGAUAUCUGGAGGAACACCGGCGGCGAAGGCGGCCUGCUGGGGCUCUUCUGACGCUGAGGCGCGAAAGCGUGGGUAGCAAACAGGAUUAGAUACCCUGGUAGUCCACGCGGUAAACGAUGAGCACUAGAUGUGCGCGGUACGACCCCGCGUGUGUCGCAGCUAACGCGAUAAGUGCUCCGCCUGGGGACUACGGUCGCAAGACUA